GGACCAUGACUAGUGUAGCAGGGAGCUGUGUGAACCGCCUGACAACUACCAGGAACUGGCUCCUUCCCUCCAGGCCUUGGCCUCGCUUCAGUGACUGGCCCUGCCCAGGGCCCUGCCCCUAUCUUCACCUCCCUCCCAAUCUGGCCCUAGACAAUCUUCCUGAGGUGGAAAUAUUCCUGCUAGUUGAGGCAGACCUUGCUUUAGAACACUGGUGCCCAGCCCAAGAUUUGUAUCUGUUUUUCCUCGUAUUAGGUCUUUUCUCAUUUCAGUUCUGCAAGGUGCAGGUUACAUUGCUGGGGUGCAGGAAACAGGCUCAGAGGGUUUCAUUCAGGAUUCAUUCAGCCAGUACCUAUUUGGGCCCUCCCUGGGCCACAUGUGCUCAAGGUCCACAGCAGGUUAGUAGAAAAGCCUGGAGGGUUAAUGUCCAGCCCUAUCUGACUUGAAAGCCUGGUUUAAGUAUCGAUUAUCCCUUUCUUUCCUUUUUCUCUUCUUGCUGCCCAGAAUGACAUUUUUUCCUGUUUGUUGUGCAUUACAUGUUAUAAGGGUUUGCAUUCUCUGAUAGUUCUGGGCUCUGUUGUGUCAUUGUACCCUUGGCUCCCGACAAGAGCAUGACACUGGUAGUAGGUUUCAAGCUUUGUUGAACUUGUGAGCCCUCCAGAUUUGUACAAGAACAAAAGCUCUGUUGACACACCAUGUACAUGUGAUGUGAGCAUUUAUACAUGUUGGCUUUCCUGCAGUAUGUUCUGAAAUGUCUAGUGGCUGGAGGGCAUAGCCACAUCCCUGUGGGCAGAGAUGGCUCAUAAGGGAGUGGAUGGUCCCAGUUUUGAUCAUCUGGGAAAAGGUAGACCGUCAGGCAGAAAAAAGUACUUCAGAAGACAAGAUGGCUCAAGAACGGACAGCUGCUAGCUAGUUCACUAUCUUUGUGACAUCAUGCUGAAUUUGGAGGGAAGAUGGCUUCUGCCAUAGCAUGGGGAUCCAGGGACAGGGAGGUUGACUUUCCUGCAGGAGGAGCCUGUCUUCAGCCAGAGACAAGCAGAGAAUUAUGGGAAGCAUCAUCCACGAGGUCAAAGGGCUACAGAACUCCCCGAAGCCAGUGUGCUGAUACUGCAUGCUUACCCAGCAGAUUGGCAGGACUGAGGUCACACAAAUGAUUUCAUGACCUCCCUUUGUGUGCGUAUCUGUAGACCUGGCCCUUCUUGCAGAAGAGCAGAGCCCUCCUGCACGUCAUUCGACAAGAACUAGACCCUCUCCUACAGCCCGGUCGCACUGAGACCAUUUGGAGCCGGCCCCAUCGAGUCUGCGCGUGGUCAAGACAUGCUGCAGGCCGCUGCGUUCCCUUUGCUGAUCAAGUACCCUGAACCCCUUUGAGAACCUCCGGGCCAGGCAGAAACCUCAGAGUUGACUUUUGUUCAAGAGCCCUCCUUUUCCCUGGGUUGCUGGCCUCCUGGGUGAAGUUCAAGUUUCUUUCCAAUCAGAACUCAUCUCUUGAGUAAAGAUCUUUCAGGCUACCAGAAGCCGAACUUGGAUUCAGUAAUACACACACACUGACAACACAUUCUUACACAAACAUGCACUCGAAGCCUAAUUUUCAUUCCACAUUAUGUUGUGAACAUGUCCCAGGUCAUUAUGUGUGAUUUUAAAUAUUUUCUCCAGAUUAUUGUGAAAAUUUCCAAAGGUACCUAAAGUUCGAAAGAAUAGUACCCAGCACCCUAGACUUAAUCAAUUUAAUAUUUUCCUUAUAUAUGUAAUAAACUGUGUUUCUUUUUUUAGUUUUUAAACAUUUAUCUUAUUUUA